rnacentral:rRNA from 1 species
GAUGAACGCUGGCGGCGUGCCUAAUACAUGCCAGUCGAGCGAACAGACGAGGAGCUUGCUCCUCUGACGUUAGCGGCGGACGGGUGAGUAACACGUGGAUAACCUACCUAUAAGACUGGGAUAACUUCGGGAAACCGGAGCUAAUACCGGAUAAUAUAUUGAACCGCAUGGUUCAAUAGUGAAAGACGGUUUUGCUGUCACUUAUAGAUGGAUCCGCGCCGCAUUAGCUAGUUGGUAAGGUAACGGCUUACCAAGGCAACGAUGCGUAGCCGACCUGAGAGGGUGAUCGGCCACACUGGUACUGAGACACGGUCCAGACUCCUACGGGAGGCAGCAGUAGGGAAUCUUCCGCAAUGGGCGAAAGCUUGACGGAGCAACGCCGCGUGAGUGAUGAAGGUCUUCGGAUCGUAAAACUCUGUUAUUAGGGAAGAACAAAUGUGUAAGUAACUAUGCACGUCUUGACGGUACCUAAUCAGAAAGCCACGGCUAACUACGUG